rnacentral:rRNA from 1 species
AUACGGAGGGUGCAAGCGUUAAUCGGAAUUACUGGGCGUAAAGCGCGCGUAGGCGGUUUGCUCAGUCGGAUGUGAAAGCCCAGGGCUCAACCUUGGAACUGCAUACGAUACUGGCAAACUAGAGUGUGAGAGAGGAUAGUGGAAUUUCCGGUGUAGCGGUGAAAUGCGUAGAUAUCGGAAGGAACAUCAGUGGCGAAGGCGACUGUCUGGCUCAACACUGACGCUGAGGUGCGAAAGCGUGGGUAGCAAACAGGAUUAGAAACCCUUGUAGUCC